rnacentral:rRNA from 1 species
AUUGAACGCUGGCGGCAGGCCUAACACAUGCAAGUCGAGCGGAUGAAGGGAGCUUGCUCCUGGAUUCGGCGGCGGACGGGUGAGUAAUGCCUAGGAAUCUGCCUGGUAGUGGGGGAUAACGUCCGGAAACGGGCGCUAAUACCGCAUACGUCCUGAGGGAGAAAGUGGGGGAUCUUCGGACCUCACGCUAUCAGAUGGGCCUAGGUCGGAUUAGCUAGUUGGUGGGGUAAAGGCCUACCAAGGCGACGAUCCGUAACUGGUCUGAGAGGAUGAUCAGUCACACUGGAACUGAGACACGGUCCAGACUCCUACGGGAGGCAGCAGUGGGGAAUAUUGGACAAUGGGCGAAAGCCUGAUCCAGCCAUGCCGCGUGUGUGAAGAAGGUCUUCGGAUUGUAAAGCACUUUAAGUUGGGAGGAAGGGCAGUAAGUUAAUACCUUGCUGUUUUGACGUUACCAACAGAAUAAGCACCGGCUAACUUCGUG